rnacentral:rRNA from 1 species
UACGGAGGAUCCAAGCGUUAUCCGGAAUCAUUGGGUUUAAAGGGUCCGUAGGCGGUUUUGUAAGUCAGUGGUGAAAGCCCAUCGCUCAACGGUGGAACGGCCAUUGAUACUGCAAGACUUGAAUUAUUAGGAAGUAACUAGAAUAUGUAGUGUAGCGGUGAAAUGCUUAGAGAUUACAUGGAAUACCAAUUGCGAAGGCAGGUUACUACUAAUUGAUUGACGCUGAUGCACGAAAGCGUGGGUAGCAAACAGG